UACGGGGGGGCGAAGCGUUGUUCGGAAUUACUGGGCGUAAAGGGCUCGUAGGCGGCCAACUAAGUCGGACGUGAAAUCCCUCGGCUUAACCGGGGAACUGCGUCCGAUACUGGAUGGCUUGAGUUUGGGAGAGGGAUGCGGAAUUCCAGGUGUAGCGGUGAAAUGCGUAGAUAUCAGGAGGAACACCAAUGGCGAAGGCAGCUCGCUGGGACGGUACUGACGCUGAGACGCGAAAGCGUGGGGAGCAAACAGG
rnacentral:rRNA from 1 species